rnacentral:misc_RNA from 1 species
GAUGAAGAACGUAGCGAAAUGCGAUAAGUAAUGUGAAUUGCAGAAUUCAGUGAAUCAUCGAAUCUUUGAACGCACAUUGCGCCCGCCAGCAUUCUGGCGGGCAUGCCUGUUCGAGCGUCAUUUCAACCCUCGAGCCCCCCCGGGGGCCUCGGUGUUGGGGGACGGCACACCAGCCGCCCCCGAAAUGCAGUGGCGACCCCGCCGCAGCCUCCCCUGCGUAGUAGCACACACCUCGCACCGGAGCGCGGAGGCGGUCACGCCGUAAAACGCCCAACUUUCUUAGAGUUGACCUCGGAUCAGGUAGGGAUACCCGCUGAACUUAAGCAUAUCAAUAAGCGGAGGA